rnacentral:tRNA from 1 species
CAGAAAAUAGUUUAUUAAAAAUAUUAAUUUUGGAGAUUAAUGAUGAAGAAAGAUCUUUUCUGA